CCAAUAGCGUAUAUUAAAGUUGUUGCAGUUAAAAAGCUCGUAGUUGAAUUUCGGGAUCAAUAUUUCGGUCAUGCCGUUGGUAUGCACUGUUAUACUUGAUUUCUCACCUUCUAAAGAACCGUAAUGCCAUUAAUUUGGUGUCACGGGGAAUUAGGACUGUUACCUUGAAAAAAUUAGAGUGUUUAAAGCAGGCUCACGCUUGAAUACAUUAGCAUGGAAUAAUGAAAUAGGACAUCCGAUUCUAUUUUGUUGGUUUCUAGGAUCGAUGUAAUGAUUAAUAGGGAUAGUUGGGGGCAUUAGUAUUCAAUUGUCAGAGGUGAAAUUCUUGGAUUUAUUGAAGACUAACUACUGCGAAAGCAUUUGCCAAGGAUGUUUUCAUUAAUCAAGAACGAAAGUUAGGGGAUCGAAGACGAUCAGAUACCGUCGUAGUCUUAACCAUAAACUAUGCCGACUAGGGAUCGGAUGAUGUUAAUUUUUUAAUGACUCAUUCGGCGCCUUACG
rnacentral:rRNA from 1 species